CACAAAUUAAAAUAUGAAGGCUUCGGCUGGAUUAUUUUUAUCACCCUUGUCUUUUGCGCACUUGUUGUUUCCUGGGCGGGUUCGCCCGCCACCAGGACCACACCAUAAACCUUUUCUUAUGCAGUUGCAAUCAGCGUCAGUAUAACAAAUGUAAAUCAUUUA
rnacentral:misc_RNA from 1 species